rnacentral:lncRNA from 1 species
CCGGGCGUGGUGGUGGGCGCCUGUAGUCCCAGCUACUCAGGAGGCUGAGGCAGAAUUGCUUGAACCCGGGAGGUGGAGGUUGCCAUGAGCUGAGGUUGUGCCACUGCACUCCAGCCUGGGCAACAGAGCAAGACUCCAUCAAAAGAAAGAAAGAGAGAGAGAGAAGAAACAAAGGGGGCAGGUUAGAUAGACUCAGGUGACUGAACUCCCACCCUGUGGGAUCUGACACUAUCUCCAGGUAGAUCAUGUUGGAAUUGGAGGGCACCCAGCCCGCGUCUGCUGCUUGGUGUGUGGUGAAAAAACCUACACCUCUGGUCAUGGAAGUCUUCUUCUGCGUUGAUAUUACUGUGGUGGUAUGAGAGCAGAGGAAAAACACAGUUUGAGAGAGCUUUUCCCGAAACACAAACAGAAAUUGCCAGCCCCGCUGUACAGAAGAGCAGUAUGUACAGAAUGCUAUGUGUCCAUCAAAAGAAGAGUGACUAACCAAAUUAUAGUAUCUCUGUAAAAUAGAAUGCUAUUCAGCAAUAAAAAUAGCAAAUUCUUGAUAUAUACAAAAAUAUAGAGGAUAUCUCAGAAAAUUAUGUUGAGUGAAAGACGCCAGACACAAAAGAGUACAUUUUGUGUUACUCUACGUAUAUGAAGUUCAAAAACAAGUGAAACUGGCCAGGCGCAGUGGCUCAUGCCUGUAAUCUCAGCACUUUAGGAGGUCAAGGCGGGCGGAUCACCUGAGGUCAGGAGUUUGAGACCAGCCUGGCCAACAUGGUGAAACCCCAUCUCUACUAAAAAUACAAAAAUUAGCCGGGUGUGGUGGCGCAUGCCUGUAGUCCCAGCUAUUUGGUAGGCUGAGGCCAAGGAAUCACCUGAACCUGGGAGGCAGAGGUUGCAGUGAGCUGAGAUUGUGCCACUGCACUCCAGCGUGGGUGACAAAGGCUCCGUUUAAAAAAAAAAUAAAAAACAAAAAAAACCCACAACAACAAAUGAAACUGAUCUAUGGCAAUAGAAGUGGGAACUAGCGGUUGCCCCUGUGGAUGAUCUGGAAGGGAGACGGAACCAGCAGGGAAGGAAAUGUUUUAUAUCUUGAUUGGGGUGGAGCUUACACAAGUGUACACAUUUGGUAAAAUUCAUCCAGCUGUACACUUUGAAUCUGUGCGUUUUAUUGUAUGUAAAUUGUUCCUUGAUUUUAAAGGAAAGUGUAAAGAGAUCACAGUGGAAAAGGUUAUUUGCUUUUCUGGGCCUAAUCAGGAAAGACUUCCCAAAGGAAGUGACAUUUGAGCAGGAUCUUGAAGGAGGAAUAGGACAUUUUCUGGUUGGAGCUAAAAACAAGAACUAAAAUGUGGAGGUUGAGAGUCAACGUGCAUCUCAGUAGAGGAGACCUCACGGAUGUGUUUGAGAAUGUCUGAGAAAGGAGGGUUGGGAAUGGUGUGUGCAAGGAAAAUAAAAAUCUUGGGACCCCAAACUUACUGUGCCAAAGGGAAAAGUUCAGUUUGGGAACUGAGUCAUGCAAAAACUGCCUUCCAUUUUGUUUCUAAAUAGCUAGCUGCAAAAAUAGAGGGCCAAGUCCCUCCCCAGGAAGAGCCCCCCUCCACAUAAUUUGCUUACAAGGAAAUUCCUUGUAGGCCCCAAGAUAUUUACCCUGAAACAAUUCUGUUGGAUUUCCCCCGACAAUGUAAAUUAACAGCAUAUCUUCACAGGUAUGGGAGAAAGACAGAAGUCAUCCCUUCACUCACCUGAGACAAAUGCAUAUUUGACUGCUUCCUCUACUCGGUGUUUAUCUUACAGAAAAAUGCAGAUUCUCGGAGCACAAGAUGAAUGCAUAAUUGACUGUUCCUCUACCCCCUCCUUUCAUGAGUAAAAUGCAGACUUAGUGAGCACGAAUCAAAGCCUAAUCAAAGUCUUGAGAUAAUGUAACCUCUUGCCUUUUUUAUCUACUUUCCUUUUUUUUUUUUUUUUUUUUUUUUUUUUUUGAGAUGGAGUCUCACUCUGUCACUCAGGCUAGAGUGCAGUGGUGCGAUCUCGGCUCACUGCAACCUCCACUUCCCGGGUUCAAGCGAUUCUCCUGCCUCAGCCUCCCGAGUAGCUGGGACUACAGGUGCGUGCCCACCACGCCCAGCUAAUUUUUUGUAUUUUUAGUAGAGAUGGGCUUUCACCGUUAUUAGCCAGGAUGGUCUCGAUCUCCUGACCUCGUGAUCUGCCCGCCUCGGCCUCCCAAAGUGCUGGGAUUGCGGGCGUGACUGUGCCCAGCCCCCCUCCUCCCUUUUCUUUCUUUCCUCUUUCCCCUAUGGUCUCUUCUUUCCCUUUAAAUAUUGAAGUCCUAAAACCCUCUUUGGAAAAAGCAUGGAUCACAGACUUCCUGUGAUUUGUGUUCCUUUUUCCUAGGUGCAUCCUCGACCUUGACAAAAUAAACCUCUCAAUUGAGGCUUGCCUCGGUCUUUUUCUUUGGUUUACAGGUGGGAGACAGAAAAAAGUGGUUGGGAUCAGAUUACAAAAGACCUUGAAUAAUAUCCACUUUCUACCAAGGACAAAGAGAAAUCAUGAAAGUGCUUAGAUUAUGGUUUUGUCUGAUUACAUAAAUAAUGCAUGCCUAUUUUUUUGAAAAAUGCAAAUAAUUGUGUAUAAAGCAGAAAGUCCCCCCAUAAUCCUAGCUCCCAAAAUAGUCACUUUUAACAAUUUAGUGUUAGGCUAAACAAUUAUCUUUAGCUAACAAUUUAUUUUCCAGACAUUAUGUAUAUUCAUAUGUAUUUUUAUACUCAUUUUUAAAUUUUUAAUAAAAUGUAUUAAUAGGAUUCUAUAUUAUAUGCUGUACAAGGCCCAGCAUCAUGCCUAUUUUCAUUCUUAAAUUUUCAGUAUCUAGCACAAUGUCUGGCAUAAGAAAUACUUGUUGGAUGAAAGAAUUAUCUUUUAUUCUUGCUUUUGUUUUCUAGCACAUCCUGGAUAUCCUCAUUCUUUUCAGUGGCUAUACAAUGUCCUGCUGCUUGAUGCAAUGCCCUAUUGAUAGGCACUUGCUGCAAAUUCCUUACUGUUACAAGACUAUUACAAGAUCCAUGUGUACUUGGAUGUAUUUCUGUGAUACUGUGAAAUAUAUAUUUGAUCUUCAUCUCUGUUUCCUGGCAAACAAUUCCUAAAACCUUAGAAUCUCCAAAGAGAUGUCUUUUUGUACAUGAUGACUGACUGAAAGCUAGCAGUCCCUAGGCAGCUUCAGGAUGGGGCUGGUCUCCAGAAAGCCCAUGGCAGGAUUACAGGGUUGGGUCUUUGAUUACUACCCCUAACCUCUCGGAAGGAGAGGAGGCUCAAGAUUAAGUUGACAGCCAAUGGCCAAAGGUUUAAUCAAUCAUGCCUAUGUAAUGAAGUCUCCAUAAAAGAUUCAAGAGGACAGAGUUUGGGAAGCUUCUCAAUAGUGGACCGUGUGGAGGUUCUUGGAGGGUGGCACACCAGAGAGGACAUGAAAGCUCUGUGUCGCUUCCACCACACCUCGCCUUAUGAAUCUCUGCAUCUGUAUCUCGCUUCCACCACACCUCGCCUUAUGAAUCUCUGCAUCUGUAUCCUUUAUAAUACACUUUAUAAUAAACCAGCAAAUGUGUUUCCCUGAGUUCUGUGAGCCACUCCAGCAAAUUAAUUGAACCCCAAAGCAGGGUUGUGGGAACCCCAACUUGAAGUUGGUCAGUCUGAAGUUCAGGAGGCCUGGAUAUGCAACUGGUGUCUGAAGGGAGCGUGGUUUUGGGGACUGAGCCCUGAACCUGUGGGAUCUGAUGCUAUCUCCAGGCAGACAGUGUUGGAAUUGAAUUAGAGGACACCCAGCCGGUGUCUGCAGCAGAACUGAUUGCUUGCUUGUUCAGAGAAUAGAAAAAACUGUGAGUUUGUGGUCUUUUUCCUCUGACACACCAUUUCUAUGGGACAAAUUCCUAGAAGAGGAAUUUGCUGGUUCAAAAUAUGCACAUCUCAAAACUGCAUAAAUGUAACAGAUUCUGCUAAAUUACCACCCGAGGGUUGUACUAAUAUCCUUUUUCAUAAUAUGUCGUUUCUACCAUAUGCUCAACAAUCCUUGUUAUUAUCAAUCCUUUUCACCCUUGAUAAUCUGAUAGUCCAAAAUUAUUUUCUUGUUUUGCUUUUAUUAUUCGUGGUUUAGCAUUUUGUUUUAUGUUUAUUGACUGUUUGCAUUUUUUCUGUGAAUUAUCUGUUUAUAUGCUUUGAUCUCUUUUUACUGUAUCAUUAAUUUUUUUAAUUAUAGAAGCUUUUUAUAUAUUAUAGGUGACAAUUCUAUAUAUGUCAAAAAUAUUUCUCCCCGUCUUCUUUGUUUAGAAUGUCUUUUGCACUGCAGUUUUAAAGUUGUAUGUAGUCAAAUCUGUUUUCUUUCCUCUUUGUAGUUUGUAGCCUAAGUGAAAUGUAGAGAAAAG